GAUCCUGGCUCAGGAUGAACGCUAGCUACAGGCUUAACACAUGCAAGUCGAGGGGCAUCAGGAUGUAGCAAUACAUUGCUGGCGACCGGCGCACGGGUGAGUAACACGUAUCCAACCUGCCUUUUACUCGGGGAUAGGCUUUCGAAAGAAAGAUUAAUACCCGAUGGUAUAAUAUUUCCGCAUGGGAUUAUUAUUAAAGAAUUUCGGUAAAAGAUGGGGAUGCGUUCCAUUAGGCAGUUGGCGGGUAACGG
rnacentral:rRNA from 1 species